GAUCAGCGAGGCUGUAAAAUCCGAGGAUCUAAUUUGACUGCCUCCUACGCGAAGAAAAAUGAAUCUCGAGGUUCCGUCUGUUCUCCAAGAAGGAAUCGACAAUCUCCAUGCCUCGAAGAGCGAUCGAGAGCCUCCGAUGACCGGCAGCCUGCAUUUUUAGCCAAUUUUCUGAGGUCUGAUGCAUAAUGCCGUUGCGAAUCUAUGCCUUUCUCCCACCGGCAGCGAUUAACAAGCUCUCCGCUUCUUCUUUUGUGCGAGAAUCGUCGAUGGAAUCUUGGAUGAAGGACUCACCUUGAACGUCUUGUAGCUGGACACGACGUAAGAAGCACCGUCCUCGAGCUCGUCAAGGGUGAGCUUCCUGUCGCCGUCCAUCGAGAAGAUGUGCCGUGCUCCUCUGGGCAGAUCCAUUCGCAGGGACAGUCUGUCCAGAAGGGCCUCCAGGGAACCGAUGUCCCUUCCCGGCUUGAACCUGAAAUUUAUUCAUUGUCAUCCUCUGAUUCUGCAUCUCAGGUGCGACUACCUCUCAGCUGAUCGCAAUUGU